UACGGAGGGUGCGAGCGUUGUCCGGAAUCAUUGGGCGUAAAGGGCGCGUAGGUGGCCCGGUGAGUCUUUGGUGAAAGCGCGGGACUCAACCCUGCGUCGGCCAGGGAUACUGCCGCGGCUCGAGCACUGUAGAGGCAGGCGGAAUUCCGGGUGUAGCGGUGGAAUGCGUAGAGAUCCGGAAGAACACCGGUGGCGAAGGCGGCCUGCUGGGCAGUGGCUGACGCUGAGGCGCGACAGCGUGGGGAGCAAACAGG
rnacentral:rRNA from 1 species